GGAGCAGCUUCCUCUGACAGAGGAAAUGACACACCUCUGACACUUUGCAAUGCUUGGAAAGUGUCUCAGGUGUGAGUUGGUGGAGCCUGCACUCCCAGCAGCUAAGGUAGAAGCAUAUGGGAAACUGCAUUCCGAUCCAGGGAAGUAUAGGAAGCAGUAAUAAAAGUGGGAAGACCUAUUAUAAGUUCGUUGCAGUCAUCCAGGCAUAUUAAAACUGUCAGCCAACUGAGUGCCAAGACCCUGGCUUAGAGACGUUGAGGAUACACACCCUAGCAGGGACAUGGAGCUACAGGAGGCAGAGUGUGUGCAGGAACUCAAAGCCCAUGGAACAGCAGGAUGCAGCUUUUCUUGGCUCCGUUACUGAGAGAUCCUGUCUGAUGUUUCCUCUCUGACAGGCCGUGACUGGGGACAUUUGGAUGGCCAGCAGAGCUGGAUUUAGAGGCAGAAGAGCUGGGCAGCUGUCCCAGUUACUCAUCUAUGAGGGGAGCUGAAAGAUCAUGAGAAUAAAUCAGAAAGAUGGUGCCAG
rnacentral:lncRNA from 1 species